GCUCAGUUGGUUGAACAUCUGACUUUGGCUCAGAUCAUGAUCUCAUGGUUCGUGGGUUCAAGCCCUGCAUUGGGCU
rnacentral:tRNA from 1 species